CCAAAUCCCGCCGGUGAACCUCCCAAACAGCUCCCUCCGGUGAAUCUCCCAAAUAUCCCCCUUCCAUCCCCUCCAUCUCCGAAUUUGAUCUCCACCUCCAGAUUUGGAGGGAAGGUAGAUUUGGGGUUAUGGUGGGUGUUCUCCGGAGGGGUGGUGAUGGUGGUGUUAGCCGGAGGGGGAGGGGAGCGGUGGUGGUGUUUCCCUGUUUCCCUUGCGUUUUUCGAUGCGAUGUUCAUCGAUCAAAUCUUUUAAAUACGGUUUUCAGAUACGAUGCAUUAGAUCUCUCAAUUACUCCUUGUUCGGGGUUACGUUCGUUAGCAAAGAUGUCACCCAAUCAAGUAUUAUGGCGAUUUAGAUGGAAACAGAAAUGGAGAUAUAAUAGGCACAAAUGGUGAUAUGGACUGGUAUAAACCUUCAUUAAAAUGUUUGCAUAGGCAAUCUUAUCCCAUUCAUCAUACAGCCUCUGCAGUGAAUCUCUAAGCAAGUGAUGCUCAAUCUUAGAGCCUGUAAUCUGGCAUGUAGCUCUGCACACUCAGCCGGGUGAUAAAGCCAAAUCCCUUUGCUGCCUCAUAAAACAGUAGUGCCACCACCCACAUGAGAAUGGAUGGAACGAUGACAGAUAAUUCAUUUCAGACUGCGCGAAUACUGAGGAGAGAAAUGAGGAGGCAAUCUAAUAGAGUCAACUAGAAGGUCAAGAUUGUGGCAGCAGGCUGGGUGUGCUGAGUGUGCAGAGGUAGACGCUAGAUUAGAGGCUCUAAGAUUUGAGAAUCAUUUGCUUAGAGAAUCUCUAUGAAGAAUGCGAUAAGACUGCUUAAGCAAACAUUUUGAUGAAGGGUGAAUUAUGCAAGUUUGCUAGACUGGAUAAGCUCCCUGAACUUGAUGUAUUUCUUUGAUCUUGCUUCUGAAGGCUGAAGGUAACAGGCAUGAUAGUUGGAGGAGUUUCAUAAACCGAAAUGAUUGUGUAAACUCAAUGUACACCUUCGUUUGAACCUUUUUUUUUGUUUAUCACAACUAGACAUAAAAGUUGGGUCUGAAUGUAGUAGAAGUUUAGAUUAUUGCAAGAAUAUGAAAGGUUUGUUGGUGGUCUUUUUGAUCAGCUGUUUGUGGAUGUUGUAGCUUGUUGAAUUGGCCUGGCCUAUAUGUUUGAAAAAGCUGCGUGUUCAACUCC